rnacentral:rRNA from 1 species
CCUACGGGAGGCAGCAGUAAGGGAUAUUGCACAAUGGGCGCAAGCCUGAUGCAGCAACGCCGCGUGCAGGAUGAAGGGUUUCGGCUCGUAAACUGCUUUUCUGGGGGACGAUGAUGACGGUACCCCAGGAAGAAGUCUCGGCUAACUACGUGCCAGCAGCCGCGGUAAU